GACGAACGCUGGCGGCGUGCUUAACACAUGCAAGUCGAACGGAAAGGCCAUGCUUUUGUGGGGUGCUCGAGUGGCGAACGGGUGAGUAACACGUGAGUAAACUGCCCUUGACUUUGGGAUAACUUCAGGAAACUGGGGCUAAUACCGGAUAGGAGCUCCUGCUGCGUGGGGGGGGUUGGAAAGUGUCGGCGGUUGUGUCUGGAAGCGCGGCUUAUGCGCUGCCUUGUGGGGUAGUGGCGUACGAAGGCUUUGACGGGUAGCCGGCCUGAGAGGGGGAACGGCCACAUGGGGACUGAGAGACGGCGCAGACUCCAACGGGAGGCAGCAGUCGGGAAUAUUGCACAACGGGCGGAAGUCUGAUGCAGCAACGCCGCGUGCGGGAUGACGGCCUUCUGGUUGUAAACCGCUUUCGCCUGUGACGAAGCGUGAGUGACGGUACUGGGUAAAGAAGCACCGGCUAACUACGUG
rnacentral:rRNA from 1 species